rnacentral:rRNA from 1 species
GAGGAAUAUUGGUCAAUGGGUGCAAGCCUGAACCAGCCAUCCCGCGUGAAGGACGACUGCCCUAUGGGUUGUAAACUUCUUUUGUAUAGGGAUAAACCUACCCUCGUGAGGGUAGCUGAAGGUACUAUACGAAUAAGCACCGGCUAACUCCGUGCCAGCAGCCGCGGUAAUACGGAGGGUGCAAGCGUUAUCCGGAUUUAUUGGGCGUAAAGGGCAUGUAGGCGGCUUGGAAAGCCUGGCGUGAAAGUCUGCAGCUUAACUGCAGGGGUGCGCUGGGAACUGCUGAGCUUGAGUGACGGAGAGGGAGCUGGAAUUCCUGGUGUAGGGGUGAAAUCUGUAGAUAUCAGGAAGAACACCGAUGGCGAAGGCAAGCUCCUGGCCGAUGACUGACGCUGAGGUGCGAAAGUGUGGGGAUCAAACA